AUGGAGUUACAGACCCAGGUCCUCAUGUCCUUGCUGCUCUGGGUGUCUGGUGCCUGUGCAGAUAUUGUGAUGACCCAGUCUCCAUCCUCCAUGGCUGUGUCAGUAGGAGAGAAGGUCACCAUCAGCUGCAAGUCCAGUCAGAGUCUUUUAUACAAUAACAAGAACUACUUAGCCUGGUACCAGCAGAAACCAGGGCAAUCUCCUAAACUUCUGAUCAGCUGGGCAUCCACUCGGUACACUGGUGUCCCUGAUCGCUUCACAGGCAGUGGGUCUGGGACAGGUUUCACUCUCACCAUCAGCAGUGUCCAGGCUGAAGACCUGGCAGAUUACUACUGUCAGCAGUAUCGCAGUUAUGAUACUCCUCCCACAGUGCUGCAGCCUCCAACACAAACCUCCUCUCAGAGUCUCACCAGCUGCCUGCACCACACACAGCCCUGGACCUGCACACUUCCCCCUUCUGCUGAGAAUUGGUGUGCUUAA